rnacentral:lncRNA from 1 species
AGCAAAAGUUUUAUCUUGGCUAUCUUGAACAUCCUUCAUUUAUUCGUAAAUAUAAUAACACAGAAGUGCAGCAUAAAGUUUUAGAAGCAAAAAGAACAACAGAUCAAGCUUUAGAGACCUUGAGAGAAGAAAGAGAGUUUUUAAGAAACCAGUUAGUUGUAACUCUAGAGAAGAGUAGACUGUAGUUUAUGAUAGAUUAUCUUAAUUUAGAAAUUAGUGAACCUCAAAAAAGAAAAAUAACUUUAGACCAAAAUAGUUUAGUUUGUUAUUUUCCAUCAAGAAAGCAUAAUCAUAUUUUGCAUAGUGAAGAAAAUCCGCA